rnacentral:rRNA from 1 species
CCUACGGGUGGCAGCAGUGGGGAAUAUUGGACAAUGGGGGGAACCCUGAUCCAGCGACGCCGCGUGAGUGAAGAAGUAUUUCGGUAUGUAAAGCUCUAUCAGCAGGGAAGAAAGAAAUGACGGUACCUGACUAAGAAGCCCCGGCUAACUACGUGCCAGCAGCCGCGGUAAUACGUAGGGGGCAAGCGUUAUCCGGGUUUACUGGGGGCAAAGGGAGCGUAGACGGGGAUGCAAGUCUGAAGUGAAAGGCGGGGGCCCAACCCCCGGACUGCUUUGGAAACUGUAUGGCUGGAGUGAAGGAGAGGUAAGUGGAAUUCCUAGUGUAGCGGUGAAAUGCGUAGAUAUUAGGAGGAACACCAGUGGCGAAGGCGGCUUACUGGACUGUAACUGACGUUGAGGGUCGAAAGCGUGGGGAGCAAACAGGAUUAGAUACCCCAGUAGUC